rnacentral:rRNA from 1 species
GACGAACGCUGGCGGCGUGCUUAACACAUGCAAGUCGAACGGAAAGGCCCCGCUUUUGUGGGGUGCUCGAGUGGCGAACGGGUGAGUAACACGUGAGUAACCUGCCCUUGACUUUGGGAUAACUUCAGGAAACUGGGGCUAAUACCGGAUAGGAGCUCCUGCUGCAUGGUGGGGGUUGGAAAGUUUCGGCGGUUGGGGAUGGACUCGCGGCUUAUCAGCUUGUUGGUUGGGUAGUGGCUUACCAAGGCUUUGACGGGUAGCCGGCCUGAGAGGGUGACCGGCCACAUUGGGACUGAGAUACGGCCCAGACUCCUACGGGAGGCAGCAGUGGGGAAUAUUGCACAAUGGGCGGAAGCCUGAUGCAGCAACGCCGCGUGCGGGAUGACGGCCUUCGGGUUGUAAACCGCUUUCGCCUGUGACGAAGCGUGAGUGACGGUAAUGGGUAAAGAAGCACCGGCUAACUACGUG